GCCUGGAUGGUGGAAUUGGUAGACACCCAGGACUUAAAAUCCUGUUGCCUUACGGCAGUGCGGGUUCGACCCCCGCUCCGGGCACCA
rnacentral:tRNA from 1 species